AUGAACGCUGGCGGCGUGCCUAAUACAUGCAAGUCGAGCGAACGGACGAGAAGCUUGCUUCUCUGAUGUUAGCGGCGGACGGGUGAGUAACACGUGGAUAACCUACCUAUAAGACUGGGAUAACUUCGGGAAACCGGAGCUAAUACCGGAUAAUAUUUUGAACCGCAUGGUUCAAAAGUGAAAGACGGUCUUGCUGUCACUUAUAGAUGGAUCCGCGCUGCAUUAGCUAGUUGGUAAGGUAACGGCUUACCAAGGCAACGAUGCAUAGCCGACCUGAGAGGGGGAGCGGCCACACUGGAACUGAGACACGGUCCAGACUCCUACGGGAGGCAGCAGUAGGGAAUCUUCCGCAAUGGGCGAAAGCCUGACGGAGCAACGCCGCGUGAGUGAUGAAGGUCUUCGGAUCGUAAAACUCUGUUAUUAGGGAAGAACAUAUGUGUAAGUAACUGUGCACAUCUUGACGGUACCUAAUCAGAAAGCCACGGCUAACUACGUG
rnacentral:rRNA from 1 species